AUGAGCUGGAACGUACGUGGUUUGAAUUCGCCGGCGAAGAGAGAAGCAGUUAGAGAAGUAGUUGCUGCUCACCGGACCGCCAUUCUGUGCUUGCAAGAGACCAAGAUAGACGUUUGGUCGCCAGCCCUCGUCCGUGAAAUUGGUGGACAAACACUGCAGGGCUGCGCCGUAAUGCCCUCCAUCGGCACGCGCGGUGGCAUUGCCAUCCUAUGGAACAAAGAU
rnacentral:rRNA from 1 species